CGAGGGGUGCAAGCGUUGCUCGGAAUUAUUGGGCGUAAAGGGUAGGUAGGUGGUCUCGUUUGUCUGGGGUGAAAGCCUUGAGCUUAACUCAAGAAGUGCCUUAGAAACGGCGAGACUGGAGUCUUGGAGAGGGUCGUGGAAUUCCCGGUGUAGCGGUGAAAUGCGUAGAGAUCGGGAGGAACACCAGAGGCGAAGGCGGCGACCUGGACAAGUACUGACACUCAACUACGAAAGCGUGGGGAGCAAACAGGAUUAGAUACCCUGGUAGUCCACGCUGUAAACGAUGGGUACUAGGUUUGGUGGGUCUUGACCCCCGCUGAACCGGCGCUAACGCAAUAAGUACCCCGCCUGGGAAGUACGGUCGCAAGACUA
rnacentral:rRNA from 1 species